rnacentral:snoRNA from 2 species
AAGAUCAUACUUUUCAGGAUCAUUUCUGUAGUAUGAAUAAUCUUUUGAAGUCGUAGACUUCUGCGCACCAAAACCAUGAUGACGAUUCAUGACAUCUGCGCCUGAGCGUGAGGCAGGCUAUCGUUGAUCUUGUUUAAGGAUCGACUUUAGUCAUCGAUGACCGUUCACCACGGGAGCUCGUCUCUUGUGGGAGGGUGUGGAUGUGAUCUGAGUGGG